GUCCUGUAUUGGAUGGCUACUCUGUGGCGUAAAAACCAUGGGGAGGAAAGUCCGAACACAGCCCCGACGUAAUGUCGGGGAGCAGGGUAGCGGGUAACUCCCGUGUGCAGCAAUGCAUAGGUGCGAGCAGAGACGCAAAUGCCGAAAGGCUAUGGUUCCGAUUUCGGUCGGAAUAAUCUAGUGGUAACACUAGGGUGAAACGGCUAAAUCCUUACCUCUGUGCAAGAUCGUGCCCUGACUUUGCCCCGCCUCGGCGGGGUGAAUUGGGGAGAAUCGCUCGAGCAUUCCAGCAAUGGCGUGCCUAGACAAAUUGUCAUCGUUUCAACGAAAGUUGAGAGACAAAAUUCGGCUUAUAGAUACAAGACAGAA
rnacentral:RNase_P_RNA from 1 species